rnacentral:lncRNA from 1 species
UCCAGUGUGCCAGGUGGUGGUGGACUCAUGUGCAGUCUUGUUAGGAGUUUCCUCCAUCUCCUCUUUCCUGUGUUGCUGAGAAUGGAUGCUGGCUUCACCAGGAUGGAGGUGGGACAGUGCUGACUGCAGGAGGCUGGUGUGGGUACUGAUCUCUGGACCUGCACCAUGGUGGAGUUGGUGCCAAAGGUGUCUGAUGGUGCGGGAGCUGACAUCUCCUUGGGACAAACUCCCCUGGGGACUCAAGGGUUGGAGCUGGCCCCUUCAUGGGUGGCCUGGAGGAAGAGGCUGAGAUGGGGAGGAAGCAACAGUGUCCAUGGCACCUUCUCUGCAGCAGCUACUGCUGGGAGGCAGUUGGAAACCCCAGCUCAGAGAUGGUCACCCGCUGUGUCCCAGCCUGCAGAUGCGGGCUGUCACUGCUGCAGUCCCGCAUGAAUCAGAACUAUACUUGCUCCUAGAUCGCAGGUGGAGUUUGGCAGCACUUAG